rnacentral:rRNA from 1 species
CCCAGCGGUCUCUUUCGGGAGACAGCGGCGGACGGGUUAGUAACGCGUGGGAACGUGCCCUUUAGUACGGAAUAGCCAUUGGAAACGAUGAUUAAUACCGUAUACGCCCUUUGGGGGAAAGAUUUAUCGCUAAAGGAUCGGCCCGCGUUAGAUUAGGUUGUUGGCGGGGUAAUGGCCUACCAAGCCUACGAUCUAUAGCUGGUUUGAGAGGAUGAUCAGCAACACUGGGACUGAGACACGGCCCAGACUUCUACGGAAGGCAGCAGUAGGGAAUCUUGGACAAUGGGCGAAAGCCUGAUCCAGCCAUGCCGCGUGAGUGAUGAAGGCCCUAGGGUAGUAAAACUCUUUCGCCAGGGAAGAUAAUGACGGUACCUGGUAAAGAAACCCCGGCUAACUCCGUGCCAGCAGCCGCGGUAAUACGGAGGGGGUUAGCGUUGUUCGGAAUUACUGGGCGUAAAGCGCACGUAGGCGGACUAGUCAGUCAGAGGUGAAAUCCCGAGGCUCAACCUCGGAACUGCCUUUGAUACUGCUAGUCUAGAGUUCGAGAGAGGUGAGUGGAAUUCCGAGUGUAGAGGUGAAAUUCGUAGAUAUUCGGAGGAACACCAGUGGCGAAGGCGGCUCACUGGAUCGAUACUGACGCUGAGGUGCGAAAGCGUGGGGAGCAAACAGG